GCCCGGGUAGCUCAAUCGGUAGAGCGUGUGGCUCUUAUAAUUGGAAUAUCUUCAUAUUCUAUCACUAAACACCUCAAGGUCGUGGGUUCGAGCCCCACCUCGGGCU